rnacentral:tRNA from 1 species
GGCCUUGUGGUGAAGAACAUAUCAGAUUGCAAACCUGAAGACGCAGAUGACCCCUGCCGAGGCCU